rnacentral:antisense_RNA from 1 species
AGAAUUUGGUUUCAGCGGUCUUGUACACCCUGUUACCAUGGUUCAGAAGUUCCCCAACUCACUGAACCCUCAAAAAAACCGCCUCCCCAGGCGGUUUUUUUGU